CGCGGCCUAUCAGCUUGUUGGUGAGGUAACGGCUCACCAAGGCAUCGACGGGUAGCUGGUCUGAGAGGAUGAUCAGCCACACUGGGACUGAGACACGGCCCAGACUCCUACGGGAGGCAGCAGUAGGGAAUCUUGCGCAACGGGCGAAAGCCUGACGCAGCAACGCCGCGUGGGGGAUGAAUGCCUUCGGGUUGUAAACCCCUUUCAGCAGGGACGAAAUUGACGGUACCUGCAGAAGAAGGUCCGGCCAACUACGUGCCAGCAGCCGCGGUAAUACGUAGGGACCGAGCGUUGUCCGGAAUUAUUGGGCGUAAAGAGCUCGUAGGCGGUUCAGUAAGUCGGGUGUGAAAACUCAAGGCUCAACCUUGAGACGCCACUCGAUACUGCUGUGACUUGAGUCCGGUAGAGGAGUGUGGAAUUCCUGGUGUAGCGGUGAAAUGCGCAGAUAUCAGGAGGAACACCAGCGGCGAAGGCGGCACUCUGGGCCGGUACUGACGCUGAGGAGCGAAAGCAUGGGGAGCAAACAGGAUUAGAUACCCUGGUAGUCCAUGCCGUAAACGUUGGGCACUAGGUAUGGGACCAUAUCAACGGGUUCCGUGCCGUAGCUAACGCAUUAAGUGCCCCGCCUGGGGAGUACGG
rnacentral:rRNA from 1 species